CCACAACAGUGCAGGUAGUCAUUUAGCCAGAGCAAAGACCGUCACGGUGUCGUCAUUUGGAACAUUCCAGCCUCCACGUUUUGAACUUUCAAGAAGAGAAACUCAUAAAGACAGCCGAAACAAAGAUUAGACAUGGCAGCUCAACUGACACAGGAGCAGAUCGCUGACUUUAAAGAGGCCUUCUCUAUGUUCGACAAAGACGGUGUUAUCACUAUAAAGGAGCUGGGGACUGUCAUGAGAUCGCUGGGUCAGAAUCCAAAUCAAGCUGAACUUCAGGACAUGAUAAACGAGGUAGACGCGGACGGAAACGGAACCAUAGACUUCUCAGAAUUCCUCACCAUGAUGGCGCGGAAGAUGGGGGAAACCGACUCAGAGGAGGAGAUUAGGGAAGCAUUCCGGCAUUUCGAUAAGGAUUGCAACGGCUACAUCAACCGUUCGGAGCUUAAGCAAGUGAUGUCCAACCUGGGAGAGAAGCUGACAGAUGAAGAGCUGGAUGAGAUGAUCCUAGAGGCCGACAUUGAUGGAGAUGGGCAGAUCAACUACGAAGAGUUCGUGAAGAUGAUGAUGUCAAAAUGAAAUGGUUCAGAGAAACACAAGGCAGACACAUCUCUCGCCAACUUUUUCACAGACAUGACAGACCAACUGACAGAGGAGCAGAUCGCUGAGUUCAAAGAGGCCUUCUCUUUGUUCGACAAGGAUGGGAAUGGCAACAUCACCACAAAGGAGCUGGGGACUGUCAUGAGAUCGCUCGGUCAAAAUCCAACUGAAAAUGAACUUCAGGAUAUGAUAAACGAGGUUGACGCAGACGGAAACGGAACCAUAGACUUCCCAGAAUUCCUCACCAUGAUGGCCCGGAAGAUGAAGGACACCGACACGGAAGAAGAGAUUAAAGAAGCAUUCAGGGUCUUCGAUAAGGAUGGUAACGGGUUCAUCAGUGCUGCGGAGCUGCGUCACGUGAUGACCAACCUGGGAGAGAAGCUGACAGAUGAAGAGGUGGAUGAGAUGAUCCGAGAGGCUGAUAUAGAUGGAGAUGGACAGGUCAACUACGAAGAGUUCGUGAAGAUGAUGAUGUCAAAAUGAAGCAGUCAAUCACACAAGGCAGAAACAUCUAUCGUCAACUGUUUCACAGACAUGGCAGACCAACUGACAGAGGAGCAGAUCGCUGAGUUCAAAGAGGCGUUUUCUCUGUUCGAUAAGGAUGGGAAUGGCAACAUCACUACAAAGGAGCUGGGGACUGUCAUGAGAUCGCUGGGUCAGAAUCCGACGGAAGGUGAACUUCAGGACAUGAUAAACGAGGUUGAUGCAGACGGAAACGGAACCAUAGACUUCCCAGAAUUCCUCACCAUGAUGGCGCGGAAGAUGAAGGACACCGACUCAGAAGAGGAGAUUAGGGAAGCAUUUAAGGUUUUCGAUAAGGAUGGUAACGGCUACAUCAGUGCUGCGGAGCUGCGUCACGUGAUGACCAACCUGGGAGAGAAGCUGACGGAUGAAGAGGUGGAUGAGAUGAUCCGAGAGGCUGACAUCGACGGAGAUGGACAGGUCAACUACGAAGAGUUCGUGAAGAUGAUGACUUCAAAAUGAAGCAGCCAAUCAGUUCAUCAGCUAUUUCAUAGCUUUCUAUUAGAAUGAUUGGCACUUAGUUGGACGUUGUUGUUAUUUCAAUUACACUCUUCAUAGCACUGUUACUCAGUUGUCAGAUUUAGUGCUUGAACGGUAAAAUGUAUUUUCUUUUCAGUAAAUUCUUCGUUAUUUCUGCAUUAGAACUAUUGUCAAAAAAUCUAUAAUAGCAUGGCAUAGUAGAAUUAACUAGUUAAAGGCAAUUAAUUCAUCGUGUUUGUUUAGCUGAUAUAUAUAUCUGACACGCGCUUUUCUUAUUGUAUUGUGUGCCUAAUCAUGAAAAUACUGUUUUCGAUUAAAGCAAAUAAAGUGUAGCAUGGGAAUGG